rnacentral:lncRNA from 1 species
UGCACAGGAGAGACCUAGGUUGAAUGUUGAGGUAAUCAAAGAUGAGAACAGCGAUGAUUCUGCUGAUAAAUUAUAUGUCUAUCGCUCUGUAGCAGGGCCUCGAAGGGAUGCCCCACCUUUUGUUGUAACUCUCUAGUACAAAGAAACAGGAAUUUUGGUAAGCUCCUUCCCUUGCUCUCUCUCUGUGUCCUAUACUCGCCAAAAUAGCAUGGAGAGGAAAGACGAGCAGCAUGAUGAUAAUGCAAAGUUUUGUUUUUAUCUGUAGGUGUGCACUGGGAUACUCUUUCUAUUUCAGCUGGGUUUAUCUGCUACAUGAUGUUCGUAAAGGUGGGACGAGAGAAAGUAAUUGGAUAAUCGACUUAAUUAAUACCUCUCCUUACGCUGCAUUUUCUAUGUUUUACUUGGAGAAGUUUGAGAUUUUCAAGGAAGAUCAACAGAAGGGAUGUUUGUGCUCUUGCUGAACUAAUGCAUUAUGAGAAAGAAACCAUGCAAAAAUUCUGUUACAGUUAGUGAGACCUUUGUGGCCAUUGCAAAUAAUCAUCACUCUAUCGGCAUUACCAGCUGCCACCAAUGACAAUACAUGGAGAUGCAGGGAGGGGAAAACUUGAACGAAUGAUCACAUGACGGAGUUGAGAAGCUG